AACGAACGCUGGCGGCAUGCCUAACACAUGCCAGUCGAACGAGACCUUCGGGUCUUGUGGCGCACGGGUGCGUAACGCGUGGGAACCUGCCCUUAGGUUCGGAAUAACUCCCCGAAAGGGGUGCUAAUACCGGAUAAUGUCUUCGGACCAAAGAUUUAUCGCCUUUGGAUGGGCCCGCGUUGGAUUAGCUAGUUGGUAGGGUAAAAGCCUACCAAGGCGACGAUCCAUAGCUGGUCUGAGAGGAUGAUCAGCCACACUGGGACUGAGACACGGCCCAGACUCCUACGGGAGGCAGCAGUGGGGAAUAUUGGACAAUGGGCGAAAGCCUGAUCCAGCAAUGCCGCGUGAGUGAUGAAGGCCUUAGGGUUGUAAAGCUCUUUUACCCGGGAUGAUAAUGACAGUACCGGGAGAAUAAGCUCCGGCUAACUCCGUG
rnacentral:rRNA from 1 species